GAUGAACGCUAGCUACAGGCUUAACACAUGCAAGUCGAGGGGCAGCAUGGUCUUAGCUUGCUAAGGCCGAUGGCGACCGGCGCACGGGUGAGUAACACGUAUCCAACCUGCCGUCUACUCUUGGACAGCCUUCUGAAAGGAAGAUUAAUACAAGAUGGCAUCAUGAGUCCGCAUGUUCACAUGAUUAAAGGUAUUCCGGUAGACGAUGGGGAUGCGUUCCAUUAGAUAGUAGGCGGGGUAACGGCCCACCUAGUCUUCGAUGGAUAGGGGUUCUGAGAGGAAGGUCCCCCACAUUGGAACUGAGACACGGUCCAAACUCCUACGGGAGGCAGCAGUGAGGAAUAGUGGUCAAGGGGCGCAGGCCUGAACCAGCCAAGUAGCGUGAAGGAUGACUGCCCUAUGGGUUGUAAACUUCUUUUAUAAAGGAAUAAAGUCGGGUAUGUAUACCCGUUUGCAUGUACUUUAUGAAUAAGGAUCGGCUAACUCCGUG
rnacentral:rRNA from 1 species